GAUGAAGAACGCAGCGAAAUGCGAUAAGUAAUGUGAAUUGCAGAAUUCAGUGAAUCAUCGAGUUUUUGAACGCAUAUUGCGCCCUCUGGUAUUCCGGGGGGCAUGCCUGUUCGAGCGUCAUUAAAUAACCCUCAAGCAUAGCUUGGUGUUGGGCUUUUUACGUCCUUGACUGGGAUGGGCCUAAAAAUUAGUGGCGAUGGCUUUUUUACUUUCAAGCGUAGUAAAUCUCGUCUUGCUAAAGAGGAAAAAGAUUUUUUUUCUGCCAAAAAUUUUAACAUUUAAAGUUGACCUCGGAUCAGGUAGGAUUACCCGCUGAACUUAAGCAUAUCAAUAAGCGGAGGA
rnacentral:misc_RNA from 1 species